rnacentral:rRNA from 1 species
CCUACGGGAGGCAGCAGUGGGGAAUAUUGGACAAUGGGCGCAAGCCUGAUCCAGCAAUGCCGCGUGAGUGAUGAAGGCCUUAGGGUCGUAAAGCUCUUUUACCAGGGAUGAUAAUGACAGUACCUGGAGAAUAAGCUCCGGCUAACUCCGUGCCAGCAGCCGCGGUAAUACGGAGGGAGCUAGCGUUGUUCGGAAUUACUGGGCGUAAAGCGUACGUAGGCGGUUAUUCAAGUCAGAGGUGAAAGCCCGGGGCUCAACCCCGGAACGGCCUUUGAAACUAGGUAGCUAGAAUCUUGGAGAGGUCAGUGGAAUUCCGAGUGUAGAGGUGAAAUUCGUAGAUAUUCGGAAGAACACCAGUGGCGAAGGCGACUGACUGGACAAGUAUUGACGCUGAGGUACGAAAGCGUGGGGAGCAAACAGGAUUAGAUACCCUGGUAGUCCACGCCGUAAACGAUGAUAACUAGCUGUCCGGGCACUUGGUGCCUGGGUGGCGCAGCUAUCGCAUUAAGUUAUCCGCCUGGGGAGUACGGUCGCAAGAUUAAAACUUAAAGGAAUUGACGG